rnacentral:tRNA from 4 species
GCUCCUGUGGUGUAGUCCGGUCAAGCAUACUGCCCUCUCAAGGCAGUGAUCCCGGGUUCAAAUCCCGGCGGGAGCACCA